rnacentral:tRNA from 1 species
GAGACGCUAGUAAAACUAGUUAUUACAUUGCCUUGUCAAGGCAACAGCGUGGGUGGGAUUCCCGCGCGUCUUA